rnacentral:rRNA from 1 species
UACGAAGGGGGCGAGCGUUGUUCGGAUUUACUGGGCGUAAAGGGCGCGCAGGCGGCUCAUUUUGUCAGGCGUGAAAGCCCCGGGCUUAACCUGGGAACUGCGUUUGAUACGGGUGGGCUAGAGUUCGGGAGAGGAGAGUGGAAUUCCCAGUGUAGAGGUGAAAUUCGUAGAUAUUGGGAAGAACACCGGUGGCGAAGGCGGCUCUCUGGACCGAUACUGACGCUGAGGCGCGAAAGCGUGGGGAGCGAACAGG